CAUGAAUAGGCCUGCCUCUCGCCAUACGCCACCCACAAUAGGGGGCUCAUUGCCCUAUAGACGCCCUCCUUCCAUAACUUCACAAACAAGCCUUCAGAAUCAGAUGAAUGGAGGUCCUUUUUAUAACCAGAAUCCAGUUUCAGAUACACCACCUCCACCACCUCCUGUGGAUGAGCCAGUGUUCGAUGAGUCCCCACCUCCACCACCUCCUCCAGAGGACUACGAAGAGGAGGAAGCAGCUGUGGUUGAGUACAGCGAUCCUUACGCCGAAGAGGACCCACCAUGGGCACCAAGGUCUUACUUGGAAAAGGUCGUGGCAAUCUAUGAUUAUACGAAAGACAAGGAGGAUGAGCUGUCCUUUCAGGAAGGAGCCAUUAUCUAUGUCAUCAAGAAGAACGAUGAUGGUUGGUAUGAGGGGAUAAUGGCAGUUCUCAGACCUCAUCAGAAAAACAUCUCUAUGCAGUGGUUGGCAAUUAAUGCAGAAACUCACAACUGGUUAAAGCACAGAGAAUAAUUGUUACCCACCUGCUACCCAGACUUAGGGACCACUGUCAAAAAGGGAGCGUUGUAAGAACUCAGACUGGUGAGGACCAAACCGGAACAGUGUCUUUUGGACAGAGCAAGAUUGCUGUGCCUAUGAACUCAGAACAGUAAUGGUCACUCACACAAGACUUGCACAAGACCGAGUCAGUCAAAACUGCUGCUGACGCUCUAUAGACAGUUGAUGGCUUCUGGGGAACAGAGGUUCAGUUUUCUUUAAAGGUGUAGCCCUAGUAGGUUAUCCAGUCUCCACUGGACGGCCUCAAACCACAAGUAUAUGGGCAGCACAAAUUGGAAUUAGUGGGCUUAAAAAAAACAAGAGGACAGAGUUGGGAAGGGUUGGGGUGGGUCUGGAAGAAGUGAAUGUAAUCAAAAUACCUUAUAUGUCUGUCAUAUGUAUGUAUGUAUGUAUGUAUGUAUGUAUGCAAUUUCCCCAAAUUAAUAAAAUAUAAUGUUUUAAAAG
rnacentral:lncRNA from 1 species